rnacentral:rRNA from 1 species
UACGUAGGGUGCAAGCGUUGUCCGGAAUUAUUGGGCGUAAAGAGCUUGUAGGCGGUUUGUCGCGUCUGCUGUGAAAUUUCGGGGCUCAACCCCGAACUUGCAGUGGGUACGGGCAGACUAGAGUGUGGUAGGGGAGAGUGGAAUCCCUGGUGUAGCGGUGAAAUGCGCAGAUAUCAGGAAGAACACCAAUGGCGAAAGCAGCUCUCUGGGACGGUACUGACGCUGAGACGCGAAAGCGUGGGGAGCGAACAGG